GAUGAACGCUGGCGGCGUGCCUAAUACAUGCAAGUCGAGCGAACAGACGAGGAGCUUGCUCCUCUGACGUUAGCGGCGGACGGGUGAGUAACACGUGGAUAACCUACCUAUAAGACUGGGAUAACUUCGGGAAACCGGAGCUAAUACCGGAUAAUAUUUUGAACCGCAUGGUUCAAUAGUGAAAGACGGUUUUGCUGUCACUUAUAGAUGGAUCCGCGCUGCAUUAGCUAGUUGGUAAGGUAACGGCUUACCAAGGCAACGAUGCGUAGCCGACCUGAGAGGGUGAUCGGCCACACUGGAACUGAGACACGGUCCAGACUCCUACGGGAGGCAGCAGUAGGGAAUCUUCCGCAAUGGGCGAAGGCCUGACGGAGCAACGCCGCGUGAGUGAUGAAGGUCUUCGGAUCGUAAAACUCUGUUAUUAGGGAAGAACAUAUGUGUAAGUAACUAUGCACGUCUUGACGGUACCUAAUCAGAAAGCCACGGCUAACUACGUG
rnacentral:rRNA from 1 species